AGUCGAGAAUAGUCUACAAUGGACGGAAGUCUGAUAGUGCGACGCCGCGUGAACGAAGAAUCCCUUCGGGGUGUAAAGUUCUUUUAUACGUGAGCAGUGCCCUUUAUAUGAAUAGUAUAGAGGGAGGGAUUUAAGCGUAUGAAUAAGCAACGGCUAACUCCGUGCCAGCAGCCGCGGUAACACGGGGGUUGCAAGCGUUGUCCGGAAUUACUAGGCGUAAAGUGCAGGUAGGCGGAUAGAUAAGUUUAAGGUUAAAGGCUACGGCUUACCCGUAGUAAGGCGUUAGAUACUGUUUAUCUGGAAUGCGGUUGAGGGAGACAGAAUUCCUGGUGUAGCGGUGGAAUGCGCAGAGAUCAGGAGGAAUACCGAAGGCGAAGGCAGUCUUCUAAGCCGAUAUUGACGCUAAACUGCGAAGGUGUGGGGAUCAAACAGGAUUAGAUACCCUGGUAGUCCACACAGUAAACGAUAAUCACUAGGUGUGGGUUCGUAUAGGACUCGGUGCCGGAGCUAACGCGAUAAGUGAUUCGCCUGGGGAGUACGAUCGCAAGGUUGAAACUCAAAGGAAUUGACGGGGGCCCGCACAAGCGGUGGAGCAUGUGGUUUAAUUCGACGCAACGCGAAGAACCUUACCCGGUCUUGACAUCUGCAGAAUUCUUCAGAGAUGGAGGAGUACCGGCUUGCCGGAGCUGCAAGACAGGUGCUGCAUGGCUGUCGUCAGCUCGUGUCGUGAGAUGUUGGGUUAAGUCCCGCAACGAGCGCAACCCCUGCUUUCAGUUACCAUCAUUAAGUUGGGGACUCUGAAAGGACCGCUGCGGUAACAACGCAGAGGAAGAUGGGGACGAGGUCAAGUCAUCAUGGUCCUUAUGACCGGGGCUACACACGUGCUACAAUGGUAGUUACAGAGGGGAGCGAAGCAGUGAUGUGGAGCGAAUCUCAGAAAAGCUACCCAAGUUCGGAUUGAGGUCUGCAACUCGACCUCAUGAAGCCGGAAUCGCUAGUAAUCGCGCAACAUCAUGGUGCGGUGAAUACGUUCCCGGGCCUUGUACACACCGCCCGUCAAGUCAGCCGAGUGGAGUGCACCCGAAGGAGGUGAGCUAACCCGUGAGGGAAGCAGCUUUCGAAGGUGUGCUUUGCGAGGAGGACU
rnacentral:rRNA from 1 species